rnacentral:rRNA from 1 species
UACGAAGGGGGGCUAGCGUUGCUCGGAAUCACUGGGCGUAAAGGGUGCGUAGGCGGGUCUUUUAAGUCAGGGGUGAAAUCCUGGAGCUCAACUCCAGAACUGCCUUUGAUACUGAAGAUCUUGAGUUCGGGAGAGGUGAGUGGAACUGCGAGUGUAGAGGUGAAAUUCGUAGAUAUUCGGAAGAACACCAGUGGCGAAGGCGGCUCACUGGUCCGGUACUGACGCUGAGGUGCGAAAGCGUGGGGAGCAAACAGG